rnacentral:rRNA from 1 species
GGGUUGUGAGGUUAAGCGACUAAGCGUACACGGUGGAUGCCCUGGCAGUCAGAGGCGAUGAAGGACGUGCUAAUCUGCGAUAAGCGUCGGUAAGGUGAUAUGAACCGUUAUAACCGGCGAUUUCCGAAUGGGGAAACCCAGUGUGUUUCGACACACUAUCAUUAACUGAAUCCAUAGGUUAAUGAGGCGAACCGGGGGAACUGAAACAUCUAAGUACCCCGAGGAAAAGAAAUCAACCGAGAUUCCCCCAGUAGCGGCGAGCGAACGGGGAGCAGCCCAGAGCCUGAAUCAGUGUGUGUGUUAGUGGAAGCGUCUGGAAAGGCGCGCGAUACAGGGUGACAGCCCCGUACACAAAAAUGCACAUGCUGUGAGCUCGAUGAGUAGGGCGGGACACGUGGUAUCCUGUCUGAAUAUGGGGGGACCAUCCUCCAAGGCUAAAUACUCCUGACUGACCGAUAGUGAACCAGUACCGUGAGGGAAAGGCGAAAAGAACCCCGGCGAGGGGAGUGAAAAAGAACCUGAAACCGUGUACGUACAAGCAGUGGGAGCACGCUUAGGCGUGUGACUGCGUACCUUUUGUAUAAUGGGUCAGCGACUUAUAUUCUGUAGCAAGGUUAACCGAAUAGGGGAGCCGAAGGGAAACCGAGUCUUAACUGGGCGUUAAGUUGCAGGGUAUAGACCCGAAACCCGGUGAUCUAGCCAUGGGCAGGUUGAAGGUUGGGUAACACUAACUGGAGGACCGAACCGACUAAUGUUGAAAAAUUAGCGGAUGACUUGUGGCUGGGGGUGAAAGGCCAAUCAAACCGGGAGAUAGCUGGUUCUCCCCGAAAGCUAUUUAGGUAGCGCCUCGUGAAUUCAUCUCCGGGGGUAGAGCACUGUUUCGGCAAGGGGGUCAUCCCGACUUACCAACCCGAUGCAAACUGCGAAUACCGGAGAAUGUUAUCACGGGAGACACACGGCGGGUGCUAACGUCCGUCGUGAAGAGGGAAACAACCCAGACCGCCAGCUAAGGUCCCAAAGUCAUGGUUAAGUGGGAAACGAUGUGGGAAGGCCCAGACAGCCAGGAUGUUGGCUUAGAAGCAGCCAUCAUUUAAAGAAAGCGUAAUAGCUCACUGGUCGAGUCGGCCUGCGCGGAAGAUGUAACGGGGCUAAACCAUGCACCGAAGCUGCGGCAGCGACGCUUAUGCGUUGUUGGGUAGGGGAGCGUUCUGUAAGCCUGUGAAGGUGUGCUGUGAGGCAUGCUGGAGGUAUCAGAAGUGCGAAUGCUGACAUAAGUAACGAUAAAGCGGGUGAAAAGCCCGCUCGCCGGAAGACCAAGGGUUCCUGUCCAACGUUAAUCGGGGCAGGGUGAGUCGACCCCUAAGGCGAGGCCGAAAGGCGUAGUCGAUGGGAAACAGGUUAAUAUUCCUGUACUUGGUGUUACUGCGAAGGGGGGACGGAGAAGGCUAUGUUGGCCGGGCGACGGUUGUCCCGGUUUAAGCGUGUAGGCUGGUUUUCCAGGCAAAUCCGGAAAAUCAAGGCUGAGGCGUGAUGACGAGGCACUACGGUGCUGAAGCAACAAAUGCCCUGCUUCCAGGAAAAGCCUCUAAGCAUCAGGUAACAUCAAAUCGUACCCCAAACCGACACAGGUGGUCAGGUAGAGAAUACCAAGGCGCUUGAGAGAACUCGGGUGAAGGAACUAGGCAAAAUGGUGCCGUAACUUCGGGAGAAGGCACGCUGAUAUGUAGGUGAAGCGACUUGCUCGUGGAGCUGAAAUCAGUCGAAGAUACCAGCUGGCUGCAACUGUUUAUUAAAAACACAGCACUGUGCAAACACGAAAGUGGACGUAUACGGUGUGACGCCUGCCCGGUGCCGGAAGGUUAAUUGAUGGGGUUAGCGGUAACGCGAAGCUCUUGAUCGAAGCCCCGGUAAACGGCGGCCGUAACUAUAACGGUCCUAAGGUAGCGAAAUUCCUUGUCGGGUAAGUUCCGACCUGCACGAAUGGCGUAAUGAUGGCCAGGCUGUCUCCACCCGAGACUCAGUGAAAUUGAACUCGCUGUGAAGAUGCAGUGUACCCGCGGCAAGACGGAAAGACCCCGUGAACCUUUACUAUAGCUUGACACUGAACAUUGAGCCUUGAUGUGUAGGAUAGGUGGGAGGCUUAGAAGUGUGGACGCCAGUCUGCAUGGAGCCGACCUUGAAAUACCACCCUUUAAUGUUUGAUGUUCUAACGUUGACCCGUAAUCCGGGUUGCGGACAGUGUCUGGUGGGUAGUUUGACUGGGGCGGUCUCCUCCUAAAGAGUAACGGAGGAGCACGAAGGUUGGCUAAUCCUGGUCGGACAUCAGGAGGUUAGUGCAAUGGCAUAAGCCAGCUUGACUGCGAGCGUGACGGCGCGAGCAGGUGCGAAAGCAGGUCAUAGUGAUCCGGUGGUUCUGAAUGGAAGGGCCAUCGCUCAACGGAUAAAAGGUACUCCGGGGAUAACAGGCUGAUACCGCCCAAGAGUUCAUAUCGACGGCGGUGUUUGGCACCUCGAUGUCGGCUCAUCACAUCCUGGGGCUGAAGUAGGUCCCAAGGGUAUGGCUGUUCGCCAUUUAAAGUGGUACGCGAGCUGGGUUUAGAACGUCGUGAGACAGUUCGGUCCCUAUCUGCCGUGGGCGCUGGAGAACUGAGGGGGGCUGCUCCUAGUACGAGAGGACCGGAGUGGACGCAUCACUGGUGUUCGGGUUGUCAUGCCAAUGGCACUGCCCGGUAGCUAAAUGCGGAAGAGAUAAGUGCUGAAAGCAUCUAAGCACGAAACUUGCCCCGAGAUGAGUUCUCCCUGACCCUUUAAGGGUCCUGAAGGAACGUUGAAGACGACGACGUUGAUAGGCCGGGUGUGUAAGCGCAGCGAUGCGUUGAGCUAACCGGUACUAAUGAACCGUGAGGCUUAACCUUACAACGCCGAAG